AUAGUUUUAUCCUGUUCAGUACUUCAAAUAAUGUUUCAUAAUGGUUCAUAGCAUAUAAAAAAUGUUUGAUUUGAAUAUAUUUUAAACGGCUUUUGCAAUUCGGCUGUCAGUAAGGUUACGAACUAUAUUAGUAGAAUAUGUAUUUUAUGUUAGAAGCAUCAUAGUGCUAUAUACUCCUGUUACAUUGAAGAAUGUAUAAAUAAAGGCAACAGAAGUAUGUCGCUGUUCAAAACUCAUAAAUCGAUAGAAAAAAAAUAAUCCGGAUUAAAAACUAAAACUGAGGGAAACGCAUUAAAUAUAAGAGGAGAACAACGAAACAACAUUGAAAUGUAACACACACAGAAACGAAGUUAG
rnacentral:lncRNA from 1 species